rnacentral:rRNA from 1 species
UACGUAGGGUGCAAGCGUUGUCCGGAAUUAUUGGGCGUAAAGAGCUCGUAGGCGGUCUGUCACGUCGGCUGUGAAAACUCGGGGCUCAACCCCGAGCCUGCAGUCGAUACGGGCAGACUAGAGUCCGGCAGGGGAGACUGGAAUUCCUGGUGUAGCGGUGAAAUGCGCAGAUAUCAGGAGGAACACCGGUGGCGAAGGCGGGUCUCUGGGCCGGAACUGACGCUGAGGAGCGAAGCGUGGGGAGCGAACAGG